rnacentral:rRNA from 1 species
AACGAACGCUGGCGGCGUGUCUUAAGCAUGCAAGUCGGACGGCAAGGCGGGGCAACCCGCCCUAGAGUGGCGGACUGGUGAGUAACACGUGGGUGAUCUACCCUUGGUUUGGGAUAGCUCGUGGAAACACGGGGUAAUACCGAAUACGUUCUUACGGCUACGGCUGUAAGAGGAAAGGCGCUAAGGCGCCGACCGAGGAUGAGCCCGCGUCCCAUUAGCUAGUUGGUGAGGUAAUGGCCCACCAAGGCGAUGAUGGGUAGGCGGCCUGAGAGGGUGUACGCCCACAUUGGGACUGAGAUACGGCCCAAACUCCUACGGGAGGCAGCAGCUAAGAAUAUUCCGCAAUGGACGAAAGUCUGACGGAGCGACGCCGCGUGGAUGAAGAAGGCCGAAAGGUUGU